AUUGAACGCUGGCGGCAUGCCUUACACAUGCAAGUCGAACGGUAACGGGCCUUCGGGUGCCGACGAGUGGCGAACGGGUGAGUAAUACAUCGGAACGUGCCCGAUCGUGGGGGAUAACGAGGCGAAAGCUUUGCUAAUACCGCAUACGAUCUACGGAUGAAAGCAGGGGACCGCAAGGCCUUGCGCGGACGGAGCGGCCGAUGGCAGAUUAGGUAGUUGGUGGGAUAAAAGCUUACCAAGCCGACGAUCUGUAGCUGGUCUGAGAGGAUGAUCAGCCACACUGGGACUGAGACACGGCCCAGACUCCUACGGGAGGCAGCAGUGGGGAAUUUUGGACAAUGGGCGCAAGCCUGAUCCAGCCAUGCCGCGUGCAGGAUGAAGGCCUUCGGGUUGUAAACUGCUUUUGUACGGAACGAAAAGCCUUCUUUUAAUACAGGAGGGUCAUGACGGUACCGUAAGAAUAAGCACCGGCGAACUACGU
rnacentral:rRNA from 1 species